AAUCUUCCACAAUGGACGAAAGUCUGAUGGCGCAACGCCGCGUGAGUGAAGAAGGAUUNCGGUUCNUNAAACUCUGUUGCAAGGGNAGAACAAGUAGCGUAGUAACUGGCGCUACCUGGACGGUACCGUGGUAGAAAGCCACGGCUAACUACGCGCCGGCAGCCGCGGUAGUACGUAGGUGGCAAGCGUUGUCCGGAAUUAUUGGGCGUAAAGCGCUCGCAGGUGGUUCCUUAAGUAUGAUGUGAAAGCCCCCGGCUCAACCGGGGAGGGUCAUUGGAAACUGGGGAACUUGAGUGCAGAAGAGGAUAGUGGAAUUCCAAGUGUAGCGGUGAAAUGCGUAGAGAUUUGGAGGAACACCAGUGGCGAAGGCGACUGUCUGGUCUGUAACUGACACUGAGGCGCGAAAGCGUGGGGAGCAAAC
rnacentral:rRNA from 1 species